GACAGCCCGGCGAACCGCGCAAUGCGCUUCUUCUGCCUGCAGCAGAGAAAAGGAAAGAAAACUCCGCAGGGGCUCCGUUGGCUUCUCCACGAGUGACAACCAUGUUUUCCCAGAUAGAAGACCGGAGCCCUGCUCCUUUGCGAUCCGCCGAGGGCUGCAGAGAGCAUCCUCAUCCAUUUGGGCACCCCUGCCCAGGAAGAGCCCGGCCAUCCCUUUCCGGACUGGAUCCUUAAGAGGUGAAUUUUCUUCCGUGGAUUCCGAUUUGCUCCGUCUGACCAGCCUAGGCAAUCCAGCAUCGCGUGGUACCAGUGCCGCUGGGCACACUGGCUUCACGCCGGCUCCGCCUCACCAGCAAGCGCAUUCCCAGAUGGAGUCUCACUCUCUCGCCCAGACUGGAGUGCAGUGAAGCAAUCUCAGCUCACUGCAACCUCCACCCUCCCGGGUUCAAGUAAUUCUCCUGCUUCAGCCUCCUGAGUAGCUAGGAUUACAGGCAUGCACCAUCAUACCUGGCUGUAGCCCUUAUUUUAAAUUCAAUGUACUGUAAUGAUUUACUUGGUUUAUUGUCUUAACUUUCUGUUCCACUGGAAUACAGGUUCAAUAAGGAGGGAUUUUAAUCAAUUUUGUUCUCUGAAGUGUCUUCAGAACCAAAUGAGUAAAAAAUUAUCAUUGUUGACGUUUUCACUUCGUGCUAGCAUAUGGGCAAUCUCAAUUUAUUUCUAAUAACUCCCUGUAUCUUUC
rnacentral:lncRNA from 1 species